UUGAUAGUACCUUACUACUUGGAUACCUGUGGUAAUUCUAGAGCUAAUACAUGCUAAAAACCUCGACUUCGGAAGGGGUGUAUUUAUUAGAUAAAAAACCAAUGCCCUCCGGGGCUCCUUGGUGACUCAUAAUAACUUUACGAAUCGCAUGGCCUUGAGCCGGCGAUGGUUCAUUCAAAUUUCUGCCCUAUCAAUUUUCGAUGGUUGUAUAGAGGUCGGUACCCCCGUUUCCUUCCCUAUAUAACCCCCAGGCCUCCUCUCCGCCGGGCGUUGUCCCCCCGGAGGGGUUGGCCCUUUUUUUUCCCCCCUUUCUGCCUUUUCUCUCCAAGGGGCAAACCAGCUAACGAUUUCUUUUAGGACAACCAUGGUUUCUACGGGUAACGGGGAAUUAGGGUUCGAUUCCGGAGAGGGAGCCUGAGAAACGGCUACCACAUCCAAGGAAGGCAGCAGGCGCGCAAAUUACCCAAUCUCAAUACGAGGAGGUAGUGACAAUAAAUACUGAUGUUGGGAUCAUUUGGUUCUAACAAUUGGAAUGAGUACAAUCUAAAUCCCUACCAAUCGUUAGGGGAUCAAUGCGAUCCAGUUGGGGCUCUCGGCCCCGGCGACGCUUCCACUCUUUCGAGGAGUUCGCGUCUGCGAGCGAUUCGGAGCCCCCAGCGGGUAAAGAGACUACAAGGAGGCGGGCGGAGGUGGCCUGCAGGCCCUCCGCUGAAGGUAUAGUCCAGCAUCUGGCGCCAGCCUGUGAUGGGACCUGUAACGAGGAACAAUUGGAGGGCAAGUCUGGUGCCAGCAGCCGCGGUAAUUCCAGCUCCAAUAGCGUAUAUUAAAGUUGUUGCAGUUAAAAAGCUCGUAGUUGAAACUUGGGUCUGGCCGACUGGUCCGCCUCACCGCGAGUACUGGCUCGGCCGGGCCUUUCCUUCUGGGGAACCUCAUGUCCUUAAGUGGGCGUGAUGGGGAACCAGGACUUUUACUUUGAAAAAAUUAGAGUGUUCAAAGCAGGCCUAUGCUCGAAUACAUUAGCAUGGAAUAAUAGAAUAGGACGUGUGGUUCUAUUUUGUUGGUUUCUAGGACCGCCG
rnacentral:rRNA from 1 species